CGGUGAAGGCUAACCAUCAAUAUUUGAAUAAUAAAGCAAAAAGUUGAAAGCUCGACAGAGAAAGGAGCAAAACACUGUUUCUUUUUUCCUUUUACUCUUCAAUGAAGCUCCUUCUUUUAUUGAUGUUAUUAUUUUUUUACCAAUUUCAUCGUUAAUAUUCUGAAUUAGGGAUUCUCGGCCAAUUCAUAUUUUCUUUCUCUUUUAAUUAUUUCUGAUUUUUGACAAAGACAAACCGAUUAUACUACCCUUCUCUUACUUCCUUCCUUGAAUUCUCAAAGUCACUCCAAUGAUGUUACUUGUAAUGUGUUUCGCACUCUCACGCCGCUCCUCUCUGCCUUUAAAGCCUGAAACUGAAAAAACUUGAGCCAUUGAGAAACAAAAAGAAAAAUGGUUAAUAAUAUGAUAUGAAAUAUCAAUGGCGGUUUCAUAUCUUCAUUUUCUGCAACCUUUGAACUUCUCUUCCACAAGUCGUUUAUCUAUUUCCAGUAGAGACUCUCUUACGAGAAGGAACACUUGCCUUGUAUUAGCUUCCAACAACAAGGUUGUCUUUUCUUAAUCCAUGAUAUUUAAUAUAUAUAUAUAUAGUCAGACCCAGAUGUAUACAGUCAGAUUUCUACUGUGUUAUACUAUGGUAGUGGUUGUUACAUAUCUGGAAAACUAAAGAUAGAGACAUGGAUUUGAUUAUUAUAUCAGAUCUUUUUAUCUCUUGAAGCUGUUCAUCGUUGCCCGUUAAUAUGUAAUCCAUUAUUAUUCGAGCUACAUCUGGACUGCACAUUCUCAUUGCUUCACCAUCGUGUAAGGAGAGAUUUUUCACAACUACGGGGCUAUGUUGCAGAUGAACAAGUUUUAUUUUCAAGAAAAGGGAAAGCUUAAGAUUAUUCUUUCGGGGCUACUUCAUUGCUUGUCGUUCUUGCCUCCUAAUAAGGAAAAGGAUGCCUCAGCUGAAAAAGUAGCUCCUUAUUUUCUGAUUGUCAUCUAUGUUGUUAUAAUUAUAAUCUUACUAAAUUCAUAAAGAUAUUGGUAAGAAUGCCGAUUUCUGGCAAGUAAACAAAUUAACUUUUGUAUGUAAAUUAGAUUUUCAUCACCUUUGAUCCAACAAUAACUUGAGAUUUUCCUUUUAGAUAAUCUAACCUGAUUUUGUUAUGGUUUUUAAUGUUCUUUCUUUCAAAGAUUUGUAGUAUAAACCCAAAAUUUGUAUUAUUGCUUUCUUUGGAAGAAGAUUCUUCAAUGACUGGACAUACAUAAGUAGAACCUAUUUUGAUUUUCA